rnacentral:rRNA from 1 species
AUUGAACGCUGGCGGCAGGCUUAACACAUGCAAGUCGAGCGGGGAAAAGUAGCUUGCUACUUAACCUAGCGGCGGACGGGUGAGUAAUGCUUAGGUAUCUGCCUAUUAGUGGGGGACAACAUCUCGAAAGGGAUGCUAAUACCGCAUACGUCCUACGGGAGAAAGCAGGGGACCUUCGGGCCUUGCGCUAAUAGAUGAGCCUAAGUCGGAUUAGCUAGUUGGUGGGGUAAAGGCCUACCAAGGCGACGAUCUGUAGCGGGUCUGAGAGGAUAAUCCGCCACACUGGGACUGAGACACGGCCCAGACUCCUACGGGAGGCAGCAGUGGGGAAUAUUGGACAAUGGGGGGAACCCUGAUCCAGCCAUGCCGCGUGUGUGAAGAAGGCCUUUUGGUUGUAAAGCACUUUAAGCGAGGAGGAGGCUACCGAGAUUAAUACUCUUGGAUAGUGGACGUUACUCGCAGAAUAAGCACCGGCUAACUCUGUGCCAGCCGCCGCGGUAAGAC